rnacentral:rRNA from 1 species
UACGGGGGGGGCAAGCGUUAAUCGGAAUUACUGGGCGUAAAGGGUGCGUAGGCGGUUCGUUAAGUCUGUCGUGAAAUCCCCGGGCUCAACCUGGGAAUGGCGAUGGAUACUGGCGAGCUAGAGUGUGUCAGAGGAUGGUGGAAUUCCCGGUGUAGCGGUGAAAUGCGUAGAGAUGUGGAGGAACACCGAUGGCGAAGGCAGCCCCCUGGGCUAACACUGACGCUCAUGCACGAAAGCGUGGGGAGCAAACAGG